rnacentral:rRNA from 1 species
GAAUGAACGCUGGCGGCGUGCUUAACACAUGCAAGUCGAACGAGAAAUCUUUAGCUUGCUAGAGAAAGUAAAGUGGCGCACGGGUGAGUAACGCGUGGGUAAUCUGCCUCCGAAUCGGGGAUAACAUUGCGAAAGCGAUGCUAAUACCGGAUAAAAUCUGGUUGGCUUAGGUGAACCGGAUCAAAGGUGGUCUCUUUAUAAAAGCUACCGUUUGGAGAUGAGCUCGCGUACCAUUAGCUAGUUGGUGAGGUAAAGGCUCACCAAGGCGACGAUGGUUAGCUGGUCUGAGAGGAUGAUCAGCCACACCGGAACUGGAACACGGUCCGGACUCCUACGGGAGGCAGCAGUGAGGAAUUUUGCGCAAUGGGGGAAACCCUGACGCAGCAACGCCGCGUGAGUGAUGAAGGCUUUCGGGUCGUAAAGCUCUGUCAGGUGGGAAGAACCCACCAAGUGUUAAGACCACUUGGUGCUGACGGUACCACCGAAGGAAGCACCGGCUAACUCCGUGCCAGCAGCCGCGGUAAUACGGGGGGUGCGAGCGUUAUUCGGAAUCAUUGGGCGUAAAGGGCGCGCAGGCGGUUUUGUAAGUCAGAUGUGAAAUCCCGGGGCUUAACCCCGGAAGUGCCUAUGAAACUAUGAGACUUGAGUAUGGGAGAGGGAAGCGGAAUUCCUGGUGUAGCGGUGAAAUGCGUAGAUAUCAGGAGGAACACCGGUGGCCGAAGGCGGCUUCCUGGACCAAUACUGACGCUGAGGCG